rnacentral:rRNA from 1 species
AAAUUCCAAUCGAACCUGGAGAUAGCUGGUUCUCUCCGAAAUAGCUUUAGGGCUAGCCUCAAGUGAUGAUUAUUGGAGGUAGAGCACUGUUUGGACGAGGGGCCCCUCUCGGGUUACCGAAUUCAGACAAACUCCGAAUGCCAAUUAAUUUAACUUGGGAGUCAGAACAUGGGUGAUAAGGUCCGUGUUCGAAAGGGAAACAGCCCAGACCACCAGCUAAGGUCCCAAAAUAUAUGUUAAGUGGAAAAGGAUGUGGCGUUGCCCAGACAACUAGGAUGUUGGCUUAGAAGCAGCCAUCAUUUAAAGAGUGCGUAAUAGCUCACUAGUCGAGUGACACUGCGCCGAAAAUGUACCGGGGCUAAACAUAUUACCGAAGCUGUGGAUUGUCCUUUGGACAAUGGUAGGAGAGCGUUCUAAGGGCGUUGAAGCAUGAUCGUAAGGACAUGUGGAGCGCUUAGAAGUGAGAAUGCCGGUGUGAGUAGCGAAAGACGGGUGAGAAUCCCGUCCACCGAUUGACUAAGGUUUCCAGAGGAAGGCUCGUCCGCUCUGGGUUAGUCGGGUCCUAAGCUGAGGCCGACAGGCGUAGGCGAUGGAUAACAGGUUGAUAUUCCUGUACCACCUAUAAUCGUUUUA